CCGCCUCAGCGCCGCCCCUCCCGCCCGGCGCUGAGGGCGGGCAGUUUUGCCGCUCGCUCCCUCACGGGAUCGAUGAGGUUGGAAAAGAGCUCCGCGAUCGAUCAGACUGGGGGUACUCGAUGUUGUUAGGGAAUAAUCAGCUUACGGGGGAAAGCAAGGCCUUCAAGGUGCUCACACCGUUUCUGGAGUGAAAACCAUCAGAAAACCACAAGGUUUUGCAAGAGUUGCUCUACAGUCGCCAGAGUUGGCAGUGCUGCUGUCGUGGGGACAGGAGUCAGCAUCACCAGCUUCCCAUCUGCAGCUCCAGCCAGGCAAGGCUCUGACCCCACCGAGUUAUUGCAAUAAUUAAUAGCUACCAUUUGUACAUAUUCUGAAUGCUUUGCAAGCAAUGCCUGAUCUCAUUAAAUUGUGCAUUGACUUAUUUUCAUCCUGUCGUGGAGUUAAAACAGACACUGCUUCCUUCAUAUUCAUGGGAGAUGGAGUCAGGAAUUUGUUCCUAUACUGGAACUGCUACCAUUGGGUCUAUGGCUACCUGCUAUGGGUUUUACUGAAAUAUAGAGCCACCUGCUAUGCAGAAUGCCUGAUUUUUAAUAGACUUGCAGGCUGGUGAGAGUCCAGGUACCAUGAUCCAAAGUAAACAAGUCUGGAAAGAACGUACCAGCUUUUAAAUCCAUGACAGGGAACUAAGGCAGGAAGGAUUUGUGAAACUACAGGCACAAGUUUGACAAUAAGCAAAGAAAAGCAUUACUUUUAGGUACAGUGCCAUUUCCCCAAUUUUAAUAAAGCUUUCUGCCUAGAAAGAGAA